CACGUAGGGGACGAGCGUUGUCCGGAUUCAUUGGGCGUAAAAGCGCGCGUAGGCGGCUCGGAAAAGUCGGUCGUGAAAAUGCCGGGGGCUCAACCCCCGGGGACUGCGUCCGAUACUCUCGAGCUGGAGGCAGGUAGGGGGGAGAUCGGAAUUCCUGGUGUAGCGGUGAAAAUGCGCAGAUAUCAGGAGGGAACACCCGGUG
rnacentral:rRNA from 1 species